CGCUGCUGCUGGUGGUUUCGAUUACUUUCAGUGCGAGCGUGAUUUCCACCAACCGCGGUGCUAAUAGUGGCAGUUCGUAGAGUUCCUCCGUUCAAACGACAUGUAACAUGGAGGCAGUAAGUGUGUAAGUGUGCAUGAGGUGAAAAGAAUAAAAAUGAAGCGAAAAUUGUAUGACAAAUGCUUGUGAUUUAUGGUGCAUGGGGAAGUUUUGUUUAACUUUCAACCUGUUGCACCUUCUUUUUGAUGUGGUCUGUGUGAUUCCUUUCGUUAUACGUUGAAUUUAACAUUGAAGCUCGAAAAAUGAUCGCUUAUAGUCUUUGCGUUAAUAUCGCUCGAAGAUAAGAUGAGUUAGGUAAACUGGUCACAUGUGUUUGUGUUGUUUUUGGUGAAAGGAAAAGAAACAAACCGAAUCGAACCGACAACUCAAUCACAAUGCAAAUUUUAAGGCUGUUCUCGUGAGUGUUUUAAUGGAUACAUUCAUCAAAAACUUGUCAUCUACGGCUCAUCGAAGGCUACCUGAUGGCCUUGUCAACAACGUGCACGAUCAUCAGUAGAAGGAAAACGAUGUCUGGUUUUACAAUAUUAGCUUUCAACGCAGCUAAAUCAUAGAAGAACGCACUUCAAGGACGCCAAGGACGCGUCUAAAGAUGCGCUACACCAGUCGAUGACAUCAUCGUAACCAGACCAGACUUGUGCCGGUUGAACACGCGCAGCACCAGUCGAUGAUAUUCUUAGGCGGCGGGUGGAAGGAGAAAAGGAAUGAAGGGUAACGGAAAAUUACCGCUUCAUUUGGAAGGGACAAAGCAUUCUGCCGAGUACUGGGUGUGACUGGGUCUGGGUCAUACAAUUCAUUUUACGACCCGACCCGUUGUAAGGUGCAAACCUUUCGGAAGUAAUUCUAAUCCGUGGAUUCAACGGGUGCACUAGAUCAAAGUCGGAAUCAAUACCGACCAGUGGGUGUAAUGAGUUUGAGUCGACCCGUAUGAUAAGUUGGUGCCACAAAGCAUAAGCAAGUCCGAUCCUAAGGGGCAUCAAACCAGUGGGUUUGGGUCGAACCGCCCAUCAAUAGUACAGAGUGUGAGUUUGCCAAAACGCACGUGGAAACAGUGAGAAAAAUGUUCAAUAAAAAGCAUGCGACAAUGUG